rnacentral:rRNA from 1 species
AGAGCGAACGUUAGCGGCGGGCCUAACACAUGCAAGUCGAGCGAGAAAGGGCUUCGGCCUGAGUACAGCGGCGGACGGGUGAGGAACACGUAGGUAAUCUGCCCUUCAGUGGAGGACAACGGUCCGAAAGGACCGCUAAUACUGCAUACGUUCCACGGGACCUCGGUCCUGUGGAGGAAAGCCUCGCAAGGGGCGCUGAAGGAGGAGCCUGCGUCGCAUCAGCUAGUUGGUGGGGUAACGGCCUACCAAGGCGAAGACGCGUAGCUGGUCUGAGAGGAUGAUCAGCCACACUGGGACUGAGACACGGCCCAGACUCCUA